rnacentral:tRNA from 1 species
AUUAUUUUGGCAGAUUAGUGCUUUGGAUUUAGAAUCUAAUAAUAUAAAUUUUACAUUUAUAAAUAAUA